GUGUCAGCAGCCGCGGUAAUACGUAGGGGGCAAGCGUUGUCCGGAAUUAUUGGGCGUAAAGGGCUCGCAGGCGGUUAUGUAAGUCUGAUGUGAAAUCUCAUGGCUUAACCAUAAGCGGUCAUUGGAAACUGCGUAACUUGAGUACAGAAGAGGAGAGUGGAAUUCCACGUGUAGCGGUGAAAUGCGUAGAUAUGUGGAGGAACACCAGUGGCGAAGGCGACUCUCUGGUCUGUAACUGACGCUGAGGAGCGAAAGCGUGGGGAGCAAACAGGAUUAGAUACCCUGGUAGUCCACGCCGUAAACGAUGAGUGCUAGGUGUUAGGGGGUUUCCGCCCCUUAGUGCUGGAGUUAACGCAUUAAGCACUCCGCCUGGGGAGUACGGCCGCAAGGCUGAA
rnacentral:rRNA from 1 species